GAUGAACGCUGGCGGCGUGCCUAAUACAUGCAAGUCGAGCGAACAGACGAGGAGCUUGCUCCUCUGACGUUAGCGGCGGACGGGUGAGUAACACGUGGAUAACCUACCUAUAAGACUGGGAUAACUUCGGGAAACCGGAGCUAAUACCGGAUCAUAUAUUGAACCGCAUGGUUCAAUAGUGAAAGACGGUUUUGCUGUCACUUAUAGAUGGAUCCGCGCCGCAUUAGCUAGUUGGUAAGGUAACGGCUUACCAAGGCGACGAUGCGUAGCCGACCUGAGAGGAUAGUCAGCAACAUUGGAACUUCGAGACGGUACAGACGCCUAAGGGAGGCAGUAGUAGGCAGUCUAACGCGAUGGGCGAAAGCGUGAAGGGGCAACGCGGCAGGAGUGAUAAAGGUCUAGGCAUCGGAAAACUCAGUAAUUAGGGAAGAACAAAUGUGUAAGUAGCUAGGCACGUCUGAACGGUACCUAAUCAGAGAGCCAAGGCUAACUACGUG
rnacentral:rRNA from 1 species